CGAUUACGGCUCAGUAACACGUAGCUAACCUACCUUUAGGACGUGGAUACCCCCGAGAAAUUGGGGUUAAUCCGCGAUAGAUGUAAUGUCCUGGAAUGGUAUUACGUCUAAAGGUAUUUCAUACAUGUUUGAAAUAUGCCUAAGGAUGGGGCUGCGGCCGAUCAGGCUGUUGGUGAGGUAAUGGCUCACCAAACCUUUGACCGGUACGGGCCAUGGGAGUGGUAGCCCGGAGAUGGACACUGAGACAAGGGUCCAGGCCCUAAGGGGCGCAGCAACCGCGAAACCUCCACAAUGCACUCACGUGCUAUGGGGCUAUCUCGAGUGCCACCUGAUGAAGGUGGCUUUUCCUUGGUCUUCAAAGCCUUGGGAAUAAGAGGGGGGCAAGACUGGUGUCAGCCGCCGCGGUAACACCAGCCCCUCGAGUGGUGGGGAUGAUUAUUUGGCCUAAAGCGUCCGUAGCCGGCCGAGCAAGUCUUCCGUUAAAUCCAGCGUCUCAAGCGUUGGACCGCGGGAGAUACUACACGGCUAAAGAGUGGGAGAGGUUAACGGUAUUCUGGGGGUAGGGGCGAAAUCCUUUGAUCCCCGGAGGACCACCAGUGGCGAAGGCUG
rnacentral:rRNA from 1 species